GAUGAACGCUGGCGGCGUGCCUAAUACAUGCAAGUCGAGCGAACAGACGAGGAGCUUGCUCCUCUGACGUUAGCGGCGGACGGGUGAGUAACACGUGGAUAACCUACCUAUAAGACUGGGAUAACUUCGGGAAACCGGAGCUAAUACCGGAUAAUAUAUUGAACCGCAUGGUUCAAUAGUGAAAGACGGUUUUGCUGUCACUUAUAGAUGGAUCCGCGCCGCAUUAGCUAGUUGGUAAGGUAACGGCUUACCAAGGCAACGAUGCGUAGCCGACCUGAGAGGGUGAUCGGCCACACUGGAACUGAGACACGGUCCAGACUCCUACGGGAGGCAGCAGUAGGGAAUCUUCCGCAAUGGGUGAAAGCCUGACGGAGCAACGCCGCGUGAGUGAUGAAGGUCUUCGGAUCGUAAAACUCUGUUAUUAGGGAAGAACAAAUGUGUAAGUAACUAUGCACGUCUUGACAGUACCUAAUCAGAAAGCCACGGCUAACUACGUG
rnacentral:rRNA from 1 species